GCGGACCCUACCCAGAGCUUGACCAAUCACAGUGCCUAGACUUACACACUCCCAAGGGCAGAAAGCACACCUGCCACUAGGCACAAUGCAUCCAGCGGCAAGCUGCAGUGGGGCAGGCGGGCCCAGCCGCACCUCCUGGAGGAGCUGACAGCAAACAAAAGCCAUCGAUGGGGAGUUCUGGCUAUUCAUGGACAGCCUGCAAUGUGCCAGACUCCAUUCCAGGAACUGGGGAUCCAGCAGUGAGAAAAACAUGAAAACCCUGCCCUCAUGGACUCUGCAUUCUUCUUGGCAGCCCCUCCUAUGCCCAGCCCAGCCAGCACCCAGAGCCUGUAUACCUUCCAGAGCCAUACACUGAGCAGGCAGUGGCCCUGUAUUUUAUCUCAGGCACCCAGGGGCCAGAGUCCAGAGUAGGCUUGUUGCCAACUCCAGGUCCAACAUCUAGAUGACUGACUAGCACCAAUGCACCCACUUUUCUUCUUUUUGGUCCAGCUUCUCUCCUGCUUGGUUCUUCCAGAGCCAAGCCAUAUCCCCUAGCUUGAAGCUGGGGCUUAGGGUCAGGAUUAUCCUGGAAAACCUAUAGCCACUCUUACUUCUUAGAAAGCUCUGGGGUCUGUGUGCCAGUCUCAUGUCUAGUCUGAGUCUUCUGGGACAAGGGCAGGUCUACCACUUCUCCUGACUCUUACCAAUGGUCACUCAGAUGAGCUAAACGCUGAAGGGCUUCCAGAAAGAUUCGCAGAAGAAACCAAUGGUAUCCUUGCCAAGAGCCCUCCCUCCUUAGAAAUGGGACUUAGGUCAGCAUCUGUGUACUCUACACGCACCUGCUCUGGGCCCAGGAAAAUCACUAAUGUAGAGAGAGAAAAUCACUACACCAUAAAGGAAAACCAGGGCACUGCUCUCCAGGACCUCUCCCCACAAGCUAGGCCUGCCCCUUCCACCCUGGUGGUAGAGGGUAGGGCUCCAGGGUCCUGGGGCUUUCUCACACUCCUAUCCAGUGGUCAGUAGUCCUAGAAUCAUCAGCCUGAGGGGAGUCUAGUGAGCUCAGCUCCCUCUCUCUCUACAUGCUUUCUAGACCACUUGUGGUUCAGCAAGAUAUGGCUUACAGCUGAAUUCCUAAAGGACUUCAACUCACCCUCAGAGACACAGAGGGUUGAGCUAUCGGUUCAGCUAGAGGCAUCCUUCCAGGAGAAGGCCUCACUCCCCUAUAUUAAUCCUUUCAAGUGUUCUAUCAAGGCACUAGAUGAAGAGACUGUGAAAUUAGGAAAGUUAGUCCAUGCACCUGACAACCUAGAAGAUCUCUCUAAGACCUACACCAGAAGCCAUGAGG